GCACAAGUGUGUCUGGGCACAAGACUUGACACCCUCACAGCUGAAGAGAAGACAUCCCGGCAACUGCAGAGGGGCCAUGGAGAGGAAGCUGGGAGCUGUGCUGGGGAUUCUGUGGGUGCAGAUUUGCUGGGUGAGAGGAGUUGAGGUGGAACAGAGUCCUUCAGACCUGAGUCUCCAUGAGGGAACCAGUACUACGUUCACAUGCAAUUUUUCUACAACCAUGACAUAUGUGAGGUGGUUCCAGCAGAACCCCAGGGGCAGCCUCAUCAGUCUUUUUAACAUGGCUCCAGGAAAAAAGGAGAAUGGGAGGUUAACUGCAACAUUCAAUUCUAAUGAGCGCUUCAGCACCCUGCACAUCAGGGAGGCCCAGCUGGAGGACUCAGGAACCUACCUCUGUGCUGCAGAGGCACAGUGCUCCCAGCAAGCCUGCAGCCUGGCCCCAAACUGCAGCUGUGCAGGAGGUUUUUGCACAGCUGUGGCUCUAACAGAUCUCCAGCAAUUACAAGAAAGAAGCGAGAAAACAGAAAAUACUUCUACAGUAGUUCAAGCUUAAAUUUGGACAGAUGUCAUAAUGACUUGAAGAAAGAUAAAAGCUCAGAAACAUCAGCCACAUGACUAAAAUCUAUACUUUAUUUUAUCAAAGGCUCAUGCUAAUGUCAUAAAAUAUAAACCCUCUUACA